UGGGGAAUAUUGGACAAUGGGCGCAAGCCUGAUCCAGCCAUGCCGCGUGAGUGAUGAAGGCCCUAGGGUUGUAAAGCUCUUUCACCGGUGAAGAUAAUGACGGUAACCGGAGAAGAAGCCCCGGCUAACUUCGUGCCAGCAGCCGCGGUAAUACGAAGGGGGCUAGCGUUGUUCGGAUUUACUGGGCGUAAAGCGCACGUAGGCGGACUUUUAAGUCAGGGGUGAAAUCCCGGGGCUCAACCCCGGAACUGCCUUUGAUACUGGAAGUCUUGAGUAUGGUAGAGGUGAGUGGAAUUCCGAGUGUAGGGGUGAAAUUCGUAGAUAUUCGGAGGAACACCAGUGGCGAAGGCGGCUCACUGGACCAUUACUGACGCUGGGGUGCGAAAGCGGGGGGAGCAAACAGG
rnacentral:rRNA from 1 species